UUGGCUAUUGUGAGUAAUGCUGCCGUGAACACGUAUAUACACUUUCAGUUCUUUGGGGGCACAUACCUACGAGUGGGAUUGUGGAAUCAUUUGGUAAUGCUGUUUAACUCCACACAUAACUUUCCAUUGCACCUGUCAGGAGUUGGGGAUUAGCAGAGGGUUGCUGGAGACAAAGUUCAGUGAGCUCAGAGUCCCAUCCACACAGAGGGGGCUGGGGUGGCUGCCUGGCCUCUAGCCGAGAGAGAAGGUAUUAAGGAGCCAUCAAGAAGCUUGUUAUAUGCUCUCUGGGGAUUGGGAAGGAGGUAGCUGCCGGCUUCGUAACAACAUAGCCAAGAGAGCUGGCUGUGCACAUUAGGCCUCCUCUCUAGAAUUUGCAGGCACAGAGCAUGGUGUGGGUGUCCACCGGAGCAGAGAUGGGCCUCUCGUCCAAGAGACGUGAGGUGUCCUUAGGUCCUGCACACCGGGGCUGCCCAGAGAAGGGCAGGAACAACAGCAGAAUGAAGCUGGGCUUCACUCCUGCGCGCAGAAGAGCUGCAGACGAGUUACGGGCAGCCAGCUGGAGCAGGGGUACAUCCUCUCGAGUCAAAGGAAGAUCCCAGGGAUGAGACGGCACCUGGGAUGACUGCAUACCCUUGAAGUGAAGAUAGGACUAUGACACUCGCUUUGGACAGCGAAACGUAUGGCCUGGACCCUCUGCACUGCUACCUGUCAAGUCUGGACCUGUUAACAAAGAUUCGGGGAAGAAUAGCGACCCUAAUUUCAUAGACUUUCUGUCUGGACUUACCCACAACCAUCCAGAUAUAAAUGUUGCCCUGUCCUGUUACCCACGCUAUGAGCCUCUGCUUAGACUGUGUUGUCCGAGUUCCACGCCUCUGCUCUGCUGUUCACAGACUACACUGCAGGUCCCUCUAUCGCGUGUGAAUUUAUGCACAGAUCUAGAUGUGUGCACUAAACACCAAGGAAAUUCACCGAAAGUCCUACGGUUCUCUGCUUCUGUUUUUACCAAAGAUUUCAACUACGUCUAUGGCUUUUGGACAAUGACUUUCGGAUCCCAGCAGGUUUUGCUGAUGACACCUGGGCUUAAUAGAAAUCACGUGAACUGGUCAGGAUCCUGUGCUCUCUGCUGCCCACUGUAGAUGAGGUCCCCAUCGAGAUACAGAAGGAGAACACGGCCCGGGUGCCCCGGAGGCCCAACCCCAAGAUAAUGGCUGGUUGGGGAAGGAGUCGUACGAGCCGGGCAAGAGCAUCCAAGAUUGAAAACGUGGUGAAGAGUUGACAGGAAGACUAUGAACUGCCCAUGUCAAGGUUCUGGAGGAGUACUCAGAAAAUCAGAAGAUGGUAAGUUAGGCUGGGGGGCUGACUUAGGCAAAAGACUGAAAACUGGUCAUCUGAGGGGCUGAAUCUGAUCCAGAUACACUGCUUGGCUCAUGCAAGAGCUUAAGAGCAAAUCUUUGCAUUGGCUGCCCACUAGCAGAUCCUUCCCACACUGGAGUAUCUGGGAACACUGGGCUCAUCCCUCACAGCACUGGGGAGAGCAGCUGUUUGGUACAGCCCCUUCCCUCUCUUACACACACGGAAGCCAUCGGUUGGACACUACCUUUCAUCCAGGCAGUUGGCAAAAGGCUCAAAGUAAAAGGGUGUUUGUGUUAUAUUCAUGGUAGAAGGGCAGCAGCCUGGAAAGGAUAAGCCACGCUCUUCCCCACUUAUUUUUCCUUUCUUAAUGUUUUAUUUACCUUUUGAGAGAGCACAAGUGGUGCACAAGUGGAGGCAGAGAGAGGGGGACCGAGGAUCCAAAGCAGGCUCUUCACUGGUAACAGUGAGCCUGAUGUGGGGCUCAAACUCAGGAACCACGAGAUCAUGGCCUGAGCCAGAGCUGGACGCUCCACCUACUGAGCCAUCCAGGUGCACUGCCCCCCCCCCCCCACUUCUAAUUAGAAACUCACCAGGGGAGUGAGCUGCAUCACACACAAAGGCAGGUAAAACAGGGCUGGCCAGUCGUCAUAACUUUCUACUGAGAAAGCUUUAUCAGCAGAAAAUACAGGGUCUCGUCUCAUUCAAUGGAUGUGACAGUCUAAUUGAUGCUCUCAGGAUUCUGGAUGUCCUCUGCCUCAACUAGCCAGAGACCAGCGUUCCUGCGUUGGUACAACUGCUGAAUUUACAAUAAAAUAAAUCCUGGGGCACCUGAGUGGCUCAGUAGGUCAAGCUUCCAUUCUCGAUUCUGGCUCAAGUCAUGAUCUCAUGGUUGAUGGGAUCAAGCCCCAAGUUGGGCUCUGUGCUGACAGUGCAGAGCCUGCUUGGGACUCUCUCAAUAAGAGACUUAUUAAAUAAGGGACUUAUAAAAAACUAAAUCCCCAAACUGGAAAAUAGACGAAUACUCAGAAGUGGUGCCAAGGCUCUGUGAUAGCAUUUAAAAAAUCCUGGGGCAUCUGCAUGGCUCAGUCCAUUAAAUGUCUGACGCUUGAUUUGGGCUCAGGUCACCAUCUCAUGGUUUAUGAGCUCAAGCCUGCUUGGAAUUCUCUUUCCUCUCAAAAUAAGAUGAACAAGAUGUAUUUUUUUAAUUUUAAAAAUUGCACUCAAAUCUUUAACUAAAACUUUACCACGUAAAGCAUUUAGAAUUUGCUUUCAUUAGAUGUGAAGGUGGUUUUGUUUUGCUUUGUUUAUGGUAUGGAAUCCUAGGUCGCCUUGAUUCCCAAAAGUGAGGCUUUGUUAUUUCCAAUUUCUGCACAUCCUUGUGAAUAAAUCCUCAGACACAUCUUAGGGCAAAAACCUUAAAGUGAAACUGAUGGGCCUAGCAAGAUCAUUUUCAUUUUAUAGAAGUAUAACCUACAUUCAAGGCAAAAAACUGGAAGAGGGAAACCAGUCCUAAUCUGUACAAGCCACCAUAAACAUCUCACUAGUGUACCUAAAUGCUUUUCUUUAUAAAACCUAUGCUGCGUGCACGGUAACACACCUGUAUACUCAGUAUAAUAUAUACAUACAGUGGACUUUUCCCCGUGAAAAAGUACACAAUCAUUUUUUAUGGCCUAAUAGCAGUCGCUGUAUGGAGGUAUCACUGGAACUAGUCCACUGGUCAAUAAGUAAAAGGCUUUGAUUUUUGCUUAAUGUAAACACUUGCAUCUUCCUAUGCAAAUAUCUACAUCCUGGGUCAAUCACCACCCCUGGAAGUAGAACUGCUAAGACAAAAAACAUACUUUUGAAGAGGCUUCAAGCCCAGCGCAGAGCCAAUGUGGGGCUUGGACUCAUAACUCUGAGAUCAAGACCUGAGCUGAGAUUAAGAGGUGGACACUUAACCAACUGAGCCACCCAGGCACCCCAAACAUGCUCCUUUUCAAAGCUCUAGACACACAUUCAUAUUGGGAGGUACUUCAGUACAUAUCAAUUUCAGUAUUUAUCAUGCUUUUUGCCACCUAGUCUGACUUCACUUGAUCAAAUCCAUCAGCCCUUCUCUACCCCAUUCAUUGAAAGUGCGAGCUUGAGCAUUAAACAGACUUCAGGUCUGUGACUGAAUUUUUCCAGGCCCAUUUCCUCAGUGGCAAGAGUAAAAACAGUUCUGUUCUUGAGAUUAUGAAAGCCAGGGCCAUCAAUGUGCUUAACAGCUCCAUUUCUGGAAAUAUGUUCAGUAUUUACUAGGAUUUUUGUUUGAAUGUCUUCUAGGUUAGGGGCGCCUGGGUGGCUCAGUCAGUUGAGCAUCCGGCUUCAGCUCAGGUCAUGAUCUCACGGUUCAUGGAUUCGACAACUGUGCCAACAACUCAGAGCCCGGAACCUGCCUCGGAUUCUGUGUCUCCUUCUCUCUCUGCCCCUCCCCCACUUGCACUCUCUCAAAAAUAAACAUUAGAAAACAAAUUUUAAUGGAGGUAGAAAUGCAACAUCUUAACUCCAAACUGUUAAUGAUUAAUACAUGUUUAAAUAGACUUGAUCCUAUUUUUUUUUUUGAACUGUCUAUUCUGUUCCAUGCGUAUACCUACCUACAUUACAAGACUACGUUGUUUUAAUAAGGGCAGCUAAUACACUGUAUUUUUACGGGGCUUUUCCUUUCUCAUUUCCCACAACUUCUCUCCCAAUUAGUGUUUGUUUUUUAAAAAUACUUUCCCAACUGUAUUUUUUCAGAAUGGCACACUGAGAUCUAAUCAGACCAACUUGGGAGUACUCCAUUUUAAUAACACUGAGUCACUAUCUAGGAACAUAGUACGCCCAUCUAUUAAUAUCUUUUAUGGACUUCAGUCAAGUUUUAGUUCAUAACUAGCAUUUGAUCUCUACUCUCUAAAAUUAGUAUUUCUUUCUACUACUUGCUCUAUGGACUAAUUUGCCUAUUCCUAGUGACUUGAAAGGUAUUCAUACUUAAAAAUUUAGUUACAUUUGAAGCCUUAAACAUUCUCGAUCCUAAGUUUAUCACGUUCCUCACUUAACUAGUCCACCCCCUAAUGACACCCCCAACUCCUAUUUUUUGUAAACAAUCUGGAAUUUAAGAAAAAUUACAUAAAGCAAAAUUCAGUUUUUACGGGGUGUUUAAGUUCUGGGAGUUCUGACAAAUGCAUAGUCAGGUAACACCAAAACCAAGAUACAGACCGGUUCCCUUGCUCACCUACAAUCUCCUCAACAGCUCCUUGAUACUCAAGUCCUCCCCUACCCCAAUCUGUUCUCCAUCCCUCUGGUUUUGCCCAAUCUCAGAUUUGUAUACGUCUUUAUCAGUAAGUGUAAUAAGACUACUUUUUCUCUUAUUAAAUUUAGUUUCAUUGGUUUUCAGCUUAGAAUUCCAUACAGCCAAAGUAACUUCAAACCUGCUUUUGUCAUUUCUACGAAGUCCUUCCUGGCUGUUCUCAUCAAAACGGCAACAUACGGCAGUUCUAAAAGGCUGCACAACCAUCGGGUCUAAAUUACUUUGUUUCUUGUUUUAAUUUACAAAAUAAGUAUCCUACCCUGUACAGAGUUGGGAGUAGAGUCCAGCAUUUCCAAAAGGGCUGGUACCCCUCAAAAUGAUUUUGAGGGCCACAUGGUGUGUCCACAGCUCCUGAUGGUCUGUUUGAAUCUAUUACACCUAAAAGCUAACUUCUUCCUGCCCAAGUGCUUACAGUCUUCUAUCUAUUAAAACUGUACGUUGCUUAUGCCAAAAAGACAGUACAAAGUACCCUAAGUCUGAAAUUCAGCAGGAAUUAUCUGCACAAAAAUUUAAACUAGUUCAGUCAUUAAUAAUUUCACCCAUUAAUGAUAGAAUCUAAUACGGAGAAAUGUGACCGAUGUACUUUUUAUCCCUUGUCUCGAUUUUACAAUCGAAAUGAGGGGAUGCUUUUACCUAGAGCUGCAGAGCAACUGGAGGAUCUACUCCUGUGACUUGGAAAUUCCCCGAGGAAAAACUGGCUGAUUGUUUAAUGAACUGCUUUUUGACAGAACUGGCAAGGAGGGUAAUUCAGAAUGGCGAGGUGAGUAGGCGCUGACAGCAGUUAUUAUGUGUAUGUGACCAACGGGUUCUUACUCCCUAACAGAUCGAGGCUAUUUAGAUGGUAACGGUAAUAGUACCACAAAAGUAGUCAAAGAAAAAUCCCGUACGGUGCUCAGUCUUUAGAAUAUGGAGGCAAAGUGAAAAGUCCCCAACUUGUGAGAGGUCACUCCAAGGUCUAGAAACGUUCAGGGUGUGUAUUCUAACCAGACAGAAGGAGGAGUUCUCUCACAUAGAGUCCGUGACUGCUUUGCACAUCUCCUUCCCCGAGGUUUUGGACUCAGGCAGGGAGAGCACCUGUCCUCGGUCCAGUAAGGUGCAAGAGUCCACCCUGGCAGGCUCUGCUUCAACUGACCUAGCCCUCCUCUUGUGCUGUAGCCCCAUCACCUGCUCUAUGCAGGCAACUGUCAUCAGAGCUCUCAUGAGGAUUAAGUGACCUAACUCGGGCAGAGCACCUAGCAGGUUCUUCCUCUAACAUAAAAACUUUAGAGAGUCGCUUGCUAUCUGAUAGGGCCAUAGUACCAGUCAGAAAUUUCUCUAGUCCCCUCCAGGUGCCAUUUUCACAUGCCUACAGUGAUCGUAUAAAAAAAAUAAGUCUGUAAAUUAGGUUUAGAUCGGGAGCUAGAAUUUUUUUCCCAAGCACAUGCUAUCUACUGUCAUUUUCUUAAAACUCUGCGACACAUCAGAACAGUAACGUCAUCAUUUAAUAAAUGCAUUCUACACCCACUACGCUUUACCACAGCCAAGUAAAUAAGGGUCUCUCAUCCCAAGAAACUUAUAGGCACUAAUGGUAAGGGACAGACAAAAGAAUACACCACCAGCUAAGACUGACCGAACGUGUGCCAGGCACUGUUCUCGGCACCUUCUACGUAUUAUGUCAUGGAAUCCUGACAGCUACUACUUUAUGAUGUUGGAUAAGCACUGCCAUUUUACAGAGGCUCAAACAGGCACAGCUGAUAAAGGAUGGAGCUGGAAAAUAAGGCAGGCCACCUAAAUAUGGGGUCCUCCCCAAUCCACUACCAUAAACGCAAGGGGAAAGGAGGGGCAGAGGACAUCAUGGAGACACAGAGGAAAGGGAACUAACUUAGUCCAGGUAUAAAAGGGGGUAAGUGGAGAAAGGUUCCUGGAGAAGAUGUGAAGCAUAUGACUAGGAGUUUGUUAGGUAUGAAAGGGAAGGAUGAGCCAGGUAGAUAGAGAGGACCUCACCAGUAAAGGUAUGAGUGUAGAAUGAGAAAAGGUGCUUAGAAAAAGCGAUUUGGUGUCGACAGGUGCUUACAGGUUUGGAAAGUACUGCCACAUACUUGUUUUUAUAAACCUUUCAGGAUCUUUACUAAACAUUCCAGGUUUGCUCAAUGAAAAAGCCACACUUGGAGGUUGAUGGGGCAGGUGUCAAGAUCCGGGCACAGAGAAGAACCAGAGCUGAAGGGAGAAGAGAGGCUGGCCUAAAGGAGAAGUCCUGCAGCCGGGCCUGGAACCCGCGUGAGCACCCUUACUGCCGUAUCAUACCCUACACCCUCCCGCCCCACUGGGGCUAAGGGGAAAAUGUGCAUGUAUCUGUAAAGAACUCCCAGGUGCUGUUCUUGAACACGAACAGGCACACUCCUAGUUCAGUGGGCCGGUUACGAGGCAAGUCAUGUGCCAGGAACUCGAUCUGCACCCACCCUACACCAGAGCCUCCUCUACAGUACAGCAUCUUAAAUCCUGACUCUGCCACUAACUGUAACUCCAUGGAUCACUCCUCUGUGUUUAUCCUCAUCUGUAAAAUGGGGACGGAUAGCAGAAAGGCAUCUGGAACAGACCUGGGCUGAACAAGUAUUUGUAAUGCUAAUGUAACGCUAACACAGAAUGCUAAACAAGUAUUUGUAAAGUUAAUUUCCCCUAAAUUACACUUGGCUCUCUAUCAAGCA